GGGAUCCCAAAAAAGGAGAGUGGAGAAGCCUUGUAAAAAUUGAGAGAAGUGAGGAGAAAUUCAGAAAAGGAGGGGAGGUUCUACUAGUUUUAAAAGAGAGGGCACAAAAGUACUCUACGAAAAUGGAGAAAGCAAUUAAGAGCAUAGAGGUUCUGCCGUAAACAGAGAGUGAAUCAAAAGUAGAGAGAGGAAGGUUCUGCUAAGUAAGUAACAAAUAAGGGAACAACACUAUAUAGUGUCAAAAGGAGGAAUUCUAAAUCAUUGCAAUUCAGAGACACAGGAGCUGCAGGACUAGUUACGCGGAGCCAGACACUCAAACCAAACACAUCCGAAGUCCGGAAGGGAAAAAGGAGGAGUGCGAAGGACAGGAAUCUGAAAAAGUCAAACUCAAUAAAGCUUCGAAAGAUCACUAUCAAGCUUAAAGAUGUAUGGUGUGUCAAGAAGUAAUCAAACUGGGAAGCACGAAGACAUCUGAAGAUGAAAUGAACCUAAAGCUUCAAGAUGAUCAUGAAGUUUCAAAGAACAAGAAAUGUUCAUAUUUUUAGGAAAUCUUCAUGUAAGUACUUCAAAGUUAAAAAUGUCAUUAUGAAUGAAAUGAAGCUCAUUAGGGGAUAAAUAUGGACUUAAAGAUUUUAUUUCAAUAUCCUGGAAAAUGUUUUUCAAAAGUAAGAAAGCAAAGAAACUAAAUAUCUUUGAAAAAGAAAGUAGGAAAGUAUUUUUAUACCGUCAGGCUACUAAGGUUGCACUUCAGGCAACCGAAGUACAGCAACGGGUAGAUUUUUUAAACUUCUCUUUUUCAAAUCUAAUUGACUUGCACCCUAAUAUUUUUGAAAACUUUGGGGGCACUCCAAGUAAACUUGGGGAGCACGAAUGAAAGUGUUUUUUAGGCCUAUAUAUACAUGGUUUAUGAAAAACAAAUUAACCAAGCAUUGAAAAUUCCUUCAAGUUAUCUUUCACUCAAAGUCUCUUGCUAUUUGUUUUAAAAGCUCUGAAUUGCUGCAAAAUUUUUGAGAAAUCUCUAAGCUUUUACAACUUCUCUGAAGCAUCCUAUUUUUGUUCUUGAUCCUUAUCAAAGAGAAGUAAUCCGGUGAUAUUUACAUAGAGCUUCUUACUUCAUUCUUUUGAUAUUUUGAAUUUGAAGUAUAUUAGUUUCUAAAGUGUACUAAUCAGCUCUUUGUGUGAGCAUUAUUUGUACGCAUCUAUUUGAUUAAUUUCUUGUAGAUUGACGAUUCUAAGGAUUGUUUGGAUCGUUGGCUAAACAAGGAAAUAUUGCUUAGAAAGGCGGGCUCUAGCCUUACCCAA